UAAAUUCGAAUACGCAUACCGUAGACAGUAGGUGCCUGAAGGCUUAAUUUCCUACCGAGGUGUUAUGAUAAAACGUUUGUAAGCAAUAUUCGAUCCUUUAGGGUUGAUGCGCGAUAACGACAUCAUGGCCUUCGCAGUGUCUGCGAAGGCCUUUCUCAUGCAUCGA
rfam:Paenibacillus sp. Soil522 contig_31, whole genome shotgun sequence.